rnacentral:rRNA from 1 species
UACGGAGGGUGCAAGCGUUGUCCGGAAUCACUGGGCGUAAAGGGCGCGUAGGCGGCUCAUGAAGGCUGUGGUGAAAGUCCGGGGCUCAACCUCGGAUCGGCCGUGGCGACUCGUGGGCUGGAGCACUGUAGAGGCGGGUGGAAUUCCGGGUGUAGCGGUGGAAUGCGUAGAGAUCCGGAAGAACACCAGCGGCGAAGGCGGGUCUCUGGGCCAUUACUGACGCUGAGGAGCGAAAGUGUGGGGAGCGAACAGG